UUAAGCGACUAAGCGUACACGGUGGAUGCCCUGGCAGUCAGAGGCGAUGAAGGACGUGCUUAAUCUGCGAAAAGCGUCGGUAAGGUGAUAUGAACGUUAUAACCGGCGAUGUCCGAAUGGGGAAACCCAGUGCAAUUCGUGCACUAUCGUUAACUGAAUACAUAGGUUAACGAGGCGAACCGGGGGAACUGAAACAUCUAAGUACCCGAGGAAAAGAAAUCAACCGAGAUUCCCCAGUAGCGGCGAGCGAACGGGGAGCAGCCCAGAGUCUGAAUCAGCUUGUGUGUUAGUGGAACGGUCUGGAAAGUCCGACGGUACAGGGUGAUAGUCCCGUACACCAAAAUGCACAGGCUGUGAACUCGAAGAGUAGGGCGGGACACGUGGUAUCCUGUCUGAAUAUGGGGGGACCAUCCUCCAAGGCUAAAUACUCCUGACUGACCGAUAGUGAACCAGUACCGUGAGGGAAAGGCGAAAAGAACCCCGGCGAGGGGAGUGAAAAAGAACCUGAAACCGUGUACGUACAAGCAGUGGGAGCACCUUCGGGUGUGACUGCGUACCUUUUGUAUAAUGGGUCAGCGACUUAUAUUCUGUAGCAAGGUUAACCGUAUAGGGGAGCCGCAGGGAAACCGAGUCUUAACUGGGCGUUAAGUUGCAGGGUAUAGACCCGAAACCCGGUGAUCUAGCCAUGGGCAGGUUGAAGGUUGGGUAACACUAACUGGAGGACCGAACCGACUAAUGUUGAAAAAUUAGCGGAUGACUUGUGGCUGGGGGUGAAAGGCCAAUCAAACCGGGAGAUAGCUGGUUCUCCCCGAAAGCUAUUUAGGUAGCGCCUCGUGAAUUCAUCUUCGGGGGUAGAGCACUGUUUCGGCUAGGGGGUCAUCCCGACUUACCAACCCGAUGCAAACUACGAAUACCGAAGAAUGUUAUCACGGGAGACACACGGCGGGUGCUAACGUCCGUCGUGAAGAGGGAAACAACCCAGACCGCCAGCUAAGGUCCCAAAGUCAUGGUUAAGUGGGAAACGAUGUGGGAAGGCACAGACAGCCAGGAUGUUGGCUUAGAAGCAGCCAUCAUUUAAAGAAAGCGUAAUAGCUCACUGGUCGAGUCGGCCUGCGCGGAAGAUGUAACGGGGCUAAACCAUGCACCGAAGCUGCGGCAGCGACACUAUGUGUUGUUGGGUAGGGGAGCGUUCUGUAAGCCUGCGAAGGUGACCUGUGAGGGUUGCUGGAGGUAUCAGAAGUGCGAAUGCUGACAUAAGUAACGAUAAAGCGGGUGAAAAGCCCGCUCGCCGGAAGACCAAGGGUUCCUGUCCAACGUUAAUCGGGGCAGGGUGAGUCGACCCCUAAGGCGAGGCCGAAAGGCGUAGUCGAUGGGAAACAGGUUAAUAUUCCUGUACUUGGUGUUACUGCGAAGGGGGGACGGAGAAGGCUAUGUUAGCCGGGCGACGGUUGUCCCGGUUUAAGCAUGUAGGCUGAUUGUCCAGGCAAAUCCGGAUAAUCAAGGCUGAGGUGUGAUGACGAGGCACUACGGUGCUGAAGUAACAAAUGCCCUGCUUCCAGGAAAAGCCUCUAAGCAUCAGGUAACAUUAAAUCGUACCCCAAACCGACACAGGUGGUCAGGUAGAGAAUACCAAGGCGCUUGAGAGAACUCGGGUGAAGGAACUAGGCAAAAUGGUGCCGUAACUUCGGGAGAAGGCACGCUGGUGUGUAGGUGAAGUCCCUGCGGAUGGAGCUGAGACCAGUCGAAGAUACCAGCUGGCUGCAACUGUUUAUUAAAAACACAGCACUGUGCAAACACGAAAGUGGACGUAUACGGUGUGACGCCUGCCCGGUGCCGGAAGGUUAAUUGAUGGGGUUAUCCGUAAGGAGAAGCUCUUGAUCGAAGCCCCGGUAAACGGCGGCCGUAACUAUAACGGUCCUAAGGUAGCGAAAUUCCUUGUCGGGUAAGUUCCGACCUGCACGAAUGGCGUAAUGAUGGCCAGGCUGUCUCCACCCGAGACUCAGUGAAAUUGAACUCGCUGUGAAGAUGCAGUGUACCCGCGGCAAGACGGAAAGACCCGUGAACCUUUACUAUAGCUUGACACUGAACAUUGAGCCUUGAUGUGUAGGAUAGGUGGGAGGCUUUGAAGCGGUGGACGCCAGUCUGCGUGGAGCCAACCUUGAAAUACCACCCUUUAAUGUUUGAUGUUCUAACGUUGGCCCCUGACCGGGGUUGCGGACAGUGUCUGGUGGGUAGUUUGACUGGGGCGGUCUCCUCCAAAGCGUAACGGAGGAGCACGAAGGUUAGCUAAUCCUGGUCGGACAUCAGGAGGUUAGUGCAAUGGCAUAAGCUAGCUUGACUGCGAGCGUGACGGCGCGAGCAGGUGCGAAAGCAGGUCAUAGUGAUCCGGUGGUUCUGAAUGGAAGGGCCAUCGCUCAACGGAUAAAAGGUACUCCGGGGAUAACAGGCUGAUACCGCCCAAGAGUUCAUAUCGACGGCGGUGUUUGGCACCUCGAUGUCGGCUCAUCACAUCCUGGGGCUGAAGUAGGUCCCAAGGGUAUGGCUGUUCGCCAUUUAAAGUGGUACGCGAGCUGGGUUUAGAACGUCGUGAGACAGUUCGGUCCCUAUCUGCCGUGGGCGCUGGAGAAUUGAGGGGGGCUGCUCCUAGUACGAGAGGACCGGAGUGGACGCAUCACUGGUGUUCGGGUUGUCAUGCCAAUGGCACUGCCGGUAGCUAAAUGCGGAAGAGAUAAGUGCUGAAAGCAUCUAAGCACGAAACUUGCCCCGAGAUGAGUUCUCCCUGAGACUUUAAGUCUCCUGAAGGAACGUUGAAGACGACGACGUUGAUAGGCCGGGUGUGUAAGCGCAGCGAUGCGUUGAGCUAACCGGUACUAAUGAACCGUGAGGCUUAACCUU
rnacentral:rRNA from 1 species